AUUGAACGCUGGCGGCAUGCCUUACACAUGCAAGUCGAACGGCAGCACGGGAGCAAUCCUGGUGGCGAGUGGCGAACGGGUGAGUAAUAUAUCGGAACGUGCCCAGUCGUGGGGGAUAACGCAGCGAAAGUUGUGCUAAUACCGCAUACGAUCUAUGGAUGAAAGCGGGGGAUCGCAAGACCUCGCGCGAUUGGAGCGGCCGAUAUCAGAUUAGGUUGUUGGUGAGGUAAAAGCUCACCAAGCCUGCGAUCUGUAGCUGGUCUGAGAGGACGACCAGCCACACUGGAACUGAGACACGGUCCAGACUCCUACGGGAGGCAGCAGUGGGGAAUUUUGGACAAUGGACGCAAGUCUGAUCCAGCAAUGCCGCGUGCAGGACGAAGGCCUUCGGGUUGUAAACUGCUUUUGUUACAGAACGAAAAGUACUUUAAUAACACUAGAGGCUCAUGACGGUACUGUAAGAAUAAGCACCGGCUAAACCG
rnacentral:rRNA from 1 species